rnacentral:rRNA from 1 species
AUUGAACGCUGGCGGCAGGCCUAACACAUGCCAGUCGAGCGGAGCGACCGACGCGUGAGUAAUGCCUAGGAAUCUGCCUGGUAGCGGGGGCUAACGUCCGGAAACGGGCGCUCAUACCGCAUUCUCUCAGAUGAGCCUGGGUCGGAUUAGCUAGUUGGGGGGGUAAAGGCCUACCAAGGCGACGAUCCGUAACUGGUCUGAGAGGAUGAUCAGUCACACUGGAACUGAGACACGGUCCAGACUCCUACGGGAGGCAGCAGUGGGGAAUAUUGGACAAUGGGCGAAAGCCUGAUCCAGCCAUGCCGCGUGUGUGAAGAAGGUCUUCGGAUUGUAAAGCACUUUAAGUUGGGAGGCGUUACCAACAGAAUAAGCACCGGCUAACUUCGUGCCAGCCGCCGCGGUAAUUC